GAGGAAUCGUUGAGGGGAAGACCGGGUUAUGAGCAUCUGAAUGAUCCACUGCACAUUAUAAUUGAGGCUGAAUUGCCUGCUAAUAUUGUUGAUAUGCGGUUGAGACAGGCAAAACAAAUCAUAGAAGAACUUCUCAAACCUAUGGAUGAGUCACAAGACCACUACGAGGGAACAAUUGAGAGAACUAGCUAUGCUGAAAUCCAAUUUACGAGAAGAGAGCCCUCAACCAUAUGGUAGUGUCUCUCCUUUCACUUCAAGCGGGAUGAAGCGUGCCAAAACUGGUCUGUAAUGG